UCAACUUGAGAGUUUGAUCCUGGCUCAGAACGAACGCUGGCGGCAGGCUUAACACAUGCAAGUCGAACGCCCCGCAAGGGGAGUGGCAGACGGG
rnacentral:rRNA from 1 species